rnacentral:rRNA from 1 species
AACCCCUUUCAGAGUAACAAUUGGAGGGCAAGUCUGGUGCCAGCAGCCGCGGUAAUUCCAGCUCCAAUAGCGUAUAUUAAAGUUGUUGCAGUUAAAAAGCUCGUAGUUGGAUAUCUGCUGGAAGCAGCCAGUCCGCCCUUUGUGGGUGUGCACUUGGUGAAUUCUGGCAUCCUCCUGAUUGGUGUCAUCAUCACUUCAUUGUGUUGGUGGCAGCUGUCAGGACCGUUACUUUGAGAAAAUUAGAGUGUUUCAAGCAGGCUUGUUGCCUUGAAUACUGCAGCAUGGAAUAACAAGAUAGGAUUUCGGUUCUAUUUUGUUGGUUUCUAGGACUGAAGUAAUGAUUAAUAGGGACAGUUGGGGGCAUUCGUAUUUAACUGUCAGAGGUGAAAUUCUUAGAUUUGUUAAAGACGAACUACUGCGAAAGCAUU